GGGGUUGUGGCUCAGUGGUAGAGUGCUUGCCUAGCAUGCGUGAGGCACUGGGUUUGAUUCCCGGAACCACA
rfam:Ictidomys tridecemlineatus contig052357, whole genome shotgun sequence.